rnacentral:lncRNA from 1 species
GCCAGGAUCCUCGAUACUUUUGGACGCUUCCUAUAAUGCUUUCGCCCACUACAUCAUGCCUCAGCCUCUGCUUCUAUGCUUAUGGCCACUCCCACAGUCAUUCUCAAGACACUCUCGACUGAUCUUUACCACAGCUGCUCACGUCAUGCUGCUUCUCUUUAGCUCCCAGGCCCGUGUACCCUCUUUUAUAUGCCCAAAAUCAAGUCUGGAUCGAAAAUAGAAUUUUAUCAGGACUCAACAAUGUUCCUAACC